GAUGAACGCUAGCGGCAGGCUUAACACAUGCAAGUCGAGGGGCAGCACGAUGUAGCAAUACAUGGGUGGCGACCGGCGCACGGGUGCGUAACACGUAUGGAACUUGCCCUUUACUGGGGGAGUAGCCCGGACGGAAAUACCGGACUUAAUACCCCACUAACAAGCGGAGUGGCAUCACUCUGCUUUGUAAAGACUCCGGCGGUAAAGGAUGGCCAUGCGCCCGAUUAGCUAGNGGUUGAGGUAACGGCUCACCAA
rnacentral:rRNA from 1 species